GACGAACGCUGGCGGCGUGCUUAACACAUGCAAGUCGAACGGAAAGGCCCCUUUGGGGAUACUCGAGUGGCGAACGGGUGAGUAACACGUGAGUAACCUGCCCUUGACUUCGGGAUAACUUCAGGAAACUGGGGCUAAUACCGGAUAGGAAUCCUUGCUGCAUGGUGGGGGUUGGAAAGCUUCGGCGGUUUUGGAUGGACUCGCGGCUUAUCAGCUUGUUGGUGGGGUAGUGGCUUACCAAGGCUUUGACGGGUAGCCGGCCUGAGAGGGCGACCGGCCACAUUGGGACUGAGAUACGGCCCAGACUCCUACGGGAGGCAGCAGUGGGGAAUAUUGCACAAUGGGCGGAAGCCUGAUGCAGCAACGCCGCGUGCGGGAUGACGGCCUUCGGGUUGUAAACCGCUUUCAGCAGGGGCGAAGCUUGUGGUGACGGUACCUGCAGAAGAAGCACCGGCUAACUACGUG
rnacentral:rRNA from 1 species